rnacentral:rRNA from 1 species
GACGAACGCUGGCGGCGUGCCUAAUACACGCAAGUUGAGCGAUGAAGAUUGGUGCUUGCACCAAUUUGCAGAGCAGCGAACGGGUGAGUAACGCGUGGGGAAUCUGCCUUUGAGCGGGGGACAACAUUUGGAAACGAAUGCUAAUACCGCAUAACAACUUUAAACAUAAGUUUUAAGUUUGAAAGAUGCAAUUGCAUCACUCAAAGAUGAUCCCGCGUUGUAUUAGCUAGUUGGUGAGGUAAAGGCUCACCAAGGCGAUGAUACAUAGCCGACCUGAGAGGGUGAUCGGCCACAUUGGGACUGAGACACGGCCCAAACUCCUACGGGAGGCAGCAGUAGGGAAUCUUCGGCAAUGGACGAAAGUCUGACCGAGCAACGCCGCGUGAGUGAAGAAGGGUUUCGGAUCGUAAAACUCUGUUGGUAGAGAAGAACGUUGGUGAGAGUGGAAAGCUCAUCAAGUGACGGUAACUACCCAGAAAGGGACGGCUAACUACGUG